rnacentral:piRNA from 1 species
UGAGACAGCAUCUUCUGGACCUGACAGA